rnacentral:rRNA from 1 species
ACGGCCGUCUGCCUCGGCGGAUCAAUGGUGAUGCUCUUGUGCAAGGGCCCCCUGCUGAGGAUCUGGGCCUCGCCUCUCCACUGGAGGUACGCAAAGGAGAUCACCGCUGCCACGGCAUCAAAGGCCACCGGUGGUCGCAGCGCCGGCGACGUGCUCAUCAUCCUCAGCUGCGUGGCCUGGGCCGGAUGGCUGGUUCUCCAGAACAAGACCUCGCAACGGUUCGCAGCGCCUUACAUGAGCACCAUCAUCAUGUCGGUGAUCGUGGGCGUGGACUUCACGGUGGUGAGCGCCGCCGUGGACCGAGGCGCCUCCGUGUGGGAGCUCGGGUCCGGCAUCCGGCUCUACUCCGUCCUCUACAUGGGGAUCGUGGGCCAGGGGGCCACCUUUGUGGUGAUGACAUGGUGCAUUAAGCUGCGUGGCCCACUGUUCCUCUCCAUGUUCAAUCCCGUGGUGUUGGUGGUCUGCGCCGUGCUGGGGUGGGCGUUCCUCGGUGAAAAGAUACACCUCGGUGAUGCGGUCGGAUCGGUGCUUAUCGUGGUCGGCCUCUACCUGGUGCUAUGGGGAAAGGCCAGGGAGGCGCGCGAUCCGCCCCACGUCGAGGAUGGUUGUGGUGCCAGUGUGUGA